rnacentral:tRNA from 1 species
UGGGAUGUAGCUCUAAGGUAGAGCACCUUUCCUACUAUGUGUGAGGCCCUGGGUUCAACCCCCAGCACCACAA